rnacentral:rRNA from 1 species
GUCUGCAACUCGACUGCAUGAAGCUGGAAUCGCUAGUAAUCGCGGAUCAGAAUGCCGCGGUGAAUACGUUCCCGGGUCUUGUACACACCGCCCGUCACACCAUGGGAGUCAGUAACGCCCGAAGUCAGUGACCGAACCGAGAGGACGGAGCUGCCGAAGGCGGGACGGAUAACUGGGGUGAAGUCGUAACAAGGUAUC